rnacentral:rRNA from 1 species
CAGGCUUAACACAUGCAAGUCGAGGGGCAGCAUGGUCUUAGCUUGCUAAGGCCGAUGGCGACCGGCGCACGGGUGAGUAACACGUAUCCAACCUGCCGUCUACUCUUGGACAGCCUUCUGAGAGGAAGAUUAAUACAAGAUGGCAUCAUGAGUCCGCAUGUUCACAUGAUUAAAGGUAUUCCGGUAGACGAUGGGGAUGCGUUCCAUUAGAUAGUAGGCGGGGUAACGGCCCACCUAGUCUUCGAUGGAUAGGGGUUCUGAGAGGAAGGUCCCCCACAUUGGAACUGAGACACGGUCCAAACUCCUACGGGAGGCAGCAGUGAGGAAUAUUGGUCAAUGGGCGAGAGCCUGAACCAGCCAAGUAGCGUGAAGGAUGACUGCCCUAUGGGUUGUAAACUUCUUUUAUAAAGGAAUAAAGUCGGGUAUGGAUACCCGUUUGCAUGUACUUUAUGAAUAAGGAUCGGCUAACUCCGUGCCAGCAGCCGCGGUAAUACGGAGGAUCCGAGCGUUAUCCGGAUUUAUUGGGUUUAAAGGGAGCGUAGAUGGAUGUUUAAGUCAGUUGUGAAAGUUUGCGGCUCAACCGUAAAAUUGCAGUUGAUACUGGAUAUCUUGAGUGCAGUUGAGGCAGGCGGAAUUCGUGGUGUAGCGGUGAAAUGCUUAGAUAUCACGAAGAACUCCGAUUGCGAAGGCAGCCUGCUAAGCUGCAACUGACAUUGAGGCUCGAAAGUGUGGGUAUCAAACAGGAUUAGAUACCCUGGUAGUCCACACGGUAAACGAUGAAUACUCGCUGUUUGCGAUAUACAGCAAGCGGCCAAGCGAAAGCGUUAAGUAUUCCACCUGGGGAGUACGCCGGCAACGGUGAAACUCAAAGGAAUUGACGGGGGCCCGCACAAGCGGAGGAACAUGUGGUUUAAUUCGAUGAUACGCGAGGAACCUUACCCGGGCUUAAAUUGCAGAUGAAUUACGGUGAAAGCCGUAAGCCGCAAGGCAUCUGUGAAGGUGCUGCAUGGUUGUCGUCAGCUCGUGCCGUGAGGUGUCGGCUUAAGUGCCAUAACGAGCGCAACCCUUGUUGUCAGUUACUAACAGGUUCUGCUGAGGACUCUGACAAGACUGCCAUCGUAAGAUGUGAGGAAGGUGGGGAUGACGUCAAAUCAGCACGGCCCUUACGUCCGGGGCUACACACGUGUUACAAUGGGGGGUACAGAGGGCCGCUACCACGCGAGUGGAUGCCAAUCCCCAAAACCUCUCUCAGUUCGGACUGGAGUCUGCAACCCGACUCCACGAAGCUGGAUUCGCUAGUAAUCGCGCAUCAGCCACGGCGCGGUGAAUACGUUCCCGGGCCUUGUACACACCGCCCGUCAAGCCAUGGGAGCCGGGGGUACCUGAAGUGCGUAACCGCGAGGAGCGCCCUAGGGUAAAACUGGUGACUGGGGC